AGGAUGCAAAUAGCAUAGCGUCAAGUAAAUGAACAAACACGUUUAUGUGGAUCAACCGAAAUCGCGGGAAACGCGUUCUGUUCCAUUAGUCCCGUAAUGAUAAUUUUUAUUUUCUUAAUAUUAACAAUAAACAUUCUGUAGAAAUUCGUUUUGUGGAGUUCAUAAAGCUUCAAGUGCAAUACAUAUUGAUACUUCAACAACGGAUGGAGAAAUCUAAAAGAAUCGUGAAAAAUAACAUAAUCCUUGAAAAUCGGCCAUUGCGACUAUUUUCAGCGGUAAUAGAAAAUUGUUUUCGAUUUCUAAGCUCUUUAGAAAGUAUUCUUAGUAUUAUAACCCAUACUGACAGUUGAGGAAUUUUAUAAACUAGCAUCAUUUGAUCAUAGAACAAAGUUAUAUAGCUUAAAAUGAUAAUUUAACGAUUAAGCUAUGAGCUCUUUCAAUACACGGAAUAACAAGGUGGCCGAAGUAGUUAACGAUGCAGGGCAAAGCAUUCGCAACGAGAAAAUAGAAAAUAUCAACGAUGCUCCUGAUUGUGUGGACAAUGGUGGAGAAAAGUCUGAUCUAAUAGAUAGUGCUUAUUUUCCUGGUAAAAGUCGUUAUGGCAGAACAAUAAAGCCUAAAUCUCCUCGGGAUGACAUAUCUGAAUCACCUAAGAAUUACAAAAUGUCCAGAACACGCAAAUCUCAAAACUCUAGCGAAAAUAGUAAUGAAAAUGUAGAUGAAAGUAACAUUGUCAAUGAUGGAGAUGAAGCAAGCGAUUCGUUUAGUUCUACCAAUUCUAUGGAAGAAAUAUUAUCUCCUAAAUUUGAUAAUACUCCUGCGCAAUGCAUUUGGAGUUUAGGACAAUUAGCAUGGGCCCGCGUUGGAAAUUUUCCAUUUUGGCCAUGUGUUGUAACGUUAGAUCCAACUACAUUAAUUUUUUACAAAUAUAAAGCUACUGGCAGAUCGCAAUUGCUAAUGAUACACGUUCAGUAUUUUGGAGAUAAAGGACGUCAUAGUUGGGUUUCAUCGAAUUAUAUGAUCCAUUUCACUAAUCUUGAUGACUAUAUAAAGCUAUCUGAAUCAUUAACCGCAGAAAUUAAAAGAAAGGAUCCUAAAUAUGCAGCAGGAUUUGUUAUUAAGGCAGGAUUAAAGUCUAAAUGGGAUACAGCAGUUGAAGAAGCUACGGAAGUUAAAUCGAUGACUGAUGAAGAAAGAGCCAAUAUAUUUAAACCGGUAGUUAAAAGUACAAGACAAAGAAUGCAAAAAACACUCGAUUUUUAUGAAAAGGAUAAGUCUAGUAAAAGAAAAUUAACGACUGACUUAAGUGGACCAGAUGCUAAACGUUCUAAGCAGGAAAAUAUUGAUGUUUCAGAUAAGUUACAAUAUAAAUUAGAAUCGCCUAAAUUAAGAUAUUUACGACAUAAUGAAAAUGGGAAAACAAAUUUGAGAUUAAAUCUUGAAAGUCCUUCUCGAAUGUCAACUAAAUCUAAUGAAUCCAAUGAUUCAUCUACAACACAAAAAAGUGAUUUUAAAAGUGAUGAACAUCCUGAAGGUGUUUUCGAAGUUUAUUACGAAAGAAAUAGAGAUAUGUUAGAAGAUGAACAUCCUGAUUUGUCGGAAGAAGAAAUUCGAAAAUAUUUAAAAAAAACUUGGAACGAUAUGAACUCUUCUUUUCGCAGAAAAUAUCGUUUAUAUGUCAAAUCUGAAGGUAAUCAAUCCAAAGAUGAUGUACCAGAAGAGUCUGAAGAAGACACGUCAACAGAUGCAGAAAGUAUUAUUACAAAAGAAGCGAAAAAAGUCAAAUCAAAAAUCGAAAAAGAAGAAACAUAUUCAGUAGAAACAAAAAAGACAAGACCAUAUAAUCUUUUUAAAGGCAUGAAACAAGAAAAGGUUUGUCAAAUAUGUGAAAAAACAGGAAAGUUAACAAGAUGUAGGGGACCCUGUUAUUCGUACUUUCAUUUGUCAUGCGUCAAACCUGGAGAAUCUAGUCCAGAACAUUCUAUUGAUGAAAGUAUGUACAGUGAUAAAUUAUUCGAAGAUUUGAGAGAAAUUAAAAGGAGCAAUACGGAUGACGAAGAAAAUAGCGAUAAAGCAGAAGAACAAGAAGAUGAGAGCUUCAAAUGUAUUGAUUGUUUGUCCGGUGUAGCUCCAGCGUGCUUUGUAUGUAAUGAAAGGGAAGGAGAUAGAAUAAGAUGUUCAGUUAUGGCAUGUGGCAAACAUUACCAUUCAUCUUGCUUAAGAUCUUGGCCUCAAUCUCGCUGGCAAGGAGGUCGUUUAAAUUGUCCAUAUCAUAUAUGUCAUACAUGUAGUUCGGAUAAUCCUCAAGAUAGUCAUUCUCGUGCACCUAAUGAAAAAAUAGCACGAUGCGUAAGAUGUCCAUCAUCUUAUCAUGCUUCUAUAUCAUGUUUACCUGCUGGAUCAGUUAUAUUAACAGGAAGCCAAAUUGUCUGUCCUAAGCAUUACAAAGCUCCUCAUCCUCCAUUGAAUGCAGCAUGGUGUUUUCUUUGUACUCGUGGUGGAAGUCUUAUUUGUUGCGACACAUGUCCAACUUCAUUUCAUCUGGAAUGUCUUGGUAUAAAUGCACCGGAUGGUGCGUUUAUAUGUGAAGAUUGUGAAACUGGAAGACUUCCCCUUUACGGAGAAGUAGUAUGGGUCAAGCUUGGUAAUUAUCGCUGGUGGCCCUCACGUAUAUGUUAUCCACAUGAAAUACCUGAAAAUGUAGGUUCUAUACCACAUAGUCCGGGCAAAUUUUGUGUCAUGUUUUUAGGUUCUAAUAAUUAUUAUUGGGUCCACAGAGGGCGUGCUUUCUUAUAUCAAGAAGGAGAUGCAACUAUAAAGCCUUCAGUAGGUAAAAAAAAUAUGAGAAAUAAUACUUAUAGAAAAGCUUUAGAAGCAGCUAGCGAGAUUCAUCAGCGUUUAAAAAUUGAGAGAGCUGCUGCUAAGGAUAUUGAGGCUAAGGGAUUGAAACCUCCACCGUAUGUUAAAUUAAAGGUUAACAAGCCUGUAGGUAAUGUGAAACCUGUUGAAGUUGAAAGUAUUGUGGCAUGUGAUUGUGAUCCAGAAUUAGAUGAUGCUUGUGCACCUGGAACAGAUUGCUUAAAUCGCAUUUUAUUGAUAGAAUGUAGUCCGGGAGUAUGCCCGGCUGGUACCAAAUGCAAUAAUCAAGAUUUCGUACGCAGACAUUAUCCAGCAAUGGAACCAUUUCAUACAGUUGGCCGUGGAUGGGGUCUUAGAAGUUUGGAAGCUAUUAAGUUUGGCCAAUUUGUAAUUGAAUAUGUAGGCGAAAUUAUAGAUGAAGCUGAAUACAGACAGAGAUUAACUAGAAAAAAAGAAUUGAAGAAUGAAAAUUUUUAUUUUUUGACAAUAGAUAAUAAUAGAAUGAUCGAUGCAGAACCAAAGGGUAAUCUUAGUCGAUUUAUGAAUCAUUCUUGUUCACCAAAUUGUGAAACACAAAAAUGGACAGUAAAUGGAGAUACACGUAUUGGUUUAUUUGCUUUGCAAGAUAUAGCACCAGGAGAAGAAUUAACUUUUAAUUAUAACUUAGCUUGCGAUGGAGAAACACGUAAAGCAUGUUUAUGCGGCGCACCAAAUUGUAGUGGAUUUAUAGGUUUAAAGGUACAAAAACCACAAAUAACUUCAGUCGCAGUACAACCUAAAAAACCCGAAAAGAUAGAAAAAAUAAAAAAGCAAAGAAGAUCAAGGAAACGUUUUUGUUGGAAUUGUGGACAAGAGAUAACGCCUGAUAGUGAAAUUAUUAUAUGCGACCAUAAAACAUGCAAUAAGAAGUAUCAUAGCACUUGUGUAAAUAUCUAUAACACGGAAAGUAAAUUUAGUUGUCCAUGGCAUCACUGUGUAGUAUGUAAUCGAAGAACAUCCGCACACUGCUCAUAUUGUAGCGCUGCUUUUUGUCAAGUUCAUUUAGAUGGGAAUUUAGUUGAGUAUGGGGAAAAAGGUGGCUUUGUUUGCACGUUGCAUGAAAAUAUGGAAGUACAGAGAUCGUCGGCAGAAGAUGAAAAAGAUUCUUCCGAUAACGAAGCUGAAAUUGAUAAAGAAUAUUUAUCAAGAUCUAGUAGCCCUAUAGAAAUGGAAACAAAGUUACAACGAGAACCAUCACCUCGAGUUUCAAUAGUAGAGGUGCAAUAAAACUUUGUCCUGUCACUCCUCCUGGAAGAUCUCUUUUCGGCGGUUGUGUCUAAAAAUAAGGUUUAGAUGCAGGUAAUGUAACUCCAGUUACAAGACCUAAAAUACUAGCAGCAAGACCACUAAGUUGUACAGCUGCCAGAGGAGAUAAACCUCUUCUUACUAAUCCAAGAGAUAAAAAUGCUACUUGAGCAAGAAUUGGUGCAGCUCCAGCUGCACUAGCAGCUGCACCUGCUAACUGACCACCACCAACAUUUGGUCCAUAAGCAAAGCACAAAUUAUGCCUGUCCACCUGUGUGUUUGCCAUGUAUAUAUU
rnacentral:misc_RNA from 1 species